UUGAAAUACUGCAACUGAAGAUUUGUUUUUGCACUUGGAGACAAAUGGCCAUUUGGAAUGGGUGUUUUUCACUGGAAGUGAGGAAAUGAUUGUUCAUACUGAAGCUAAGUAAUAUUUUGCUGGUGUUUGAUUGAUUCACAUGACAAAACCAUAGCAGAAUCAACAUCUAUUUUUUCCUGGCUGUUUUCUGGUUUUGAUGAGAAAACUUUGGAUGCACAAAUUGCAUUCUACCUGUGAUGUUACGUUAUGGAAGCUGUUCUUUGUACUUUAUUGGAGAAGAAGCUGAUAGUACCAAGAGGUAUUGUAGGGAGGGAAGUCCAAAGUGCAAACUUUUCUUUACAUUUAUUUUAAUUUUAUACCAGAGAUACUUCCUGAGAUUCUGGGACUUGCUACAAAACCACAACCUGCAUUUUUGCAUCCGAGUGUUCUGUGCUUAGUGCAAAACAAGACUGUUUACUCGUGGAAAUGAUCAAUGGCUCCCGCAGGCCUCAGUUCAGCAAAGACGUCCCACUGCAGGAAACCACUUAAACGUGUGCUUUGCUAUAAGCAAAGAUGAAAGAUAGAGGUUGUGUUCCCUGACAGCUGAUGGAUGGAUGCUGAUGUCUUUGUUAGUUCACUUUAUCCUCUGAAAAGUUCAUUAGACUUUCGCCUACUUCCAGCUGUAUUGCAACCAAGACCUGCAGAGUCUAUUGUUUGUAUCCUUUCAGAAGAGUGCCUCGUCCCUCUGCACGUGGCUUUCAGUGCUGCUACCCAACAUUGCUGUUUUAAACUUGAGUGCUAGGACUAUUUCUGCAGCAGAACCCAAACCCAUAGAUUAAUACUUGGUGACCCAGUCGGGUGGAUAGUCCAUGUCAUGACAUAGGGUCCUCUGUUGUGCUGCACUCUGCACAGGGCUCAGUGAAAAAUCCAGUACAGGUCUUGAGACUAUUGAGAUUUGGAAAAUAGAAUUAAUGCUGCCCUGUAGGUGGGAAUUAGCAAUUGCUGGCAUUGAGUGGCUUAGUAUGCAUGCUUGUGUCACAGAGAGAAGAGCACCAGCUGGAAUGAAACUAGAACUCAUGCCACUGCGGAGACACUGAAGGAGCUCACGCCUUGCAGAACUCAUCUCUUCAGUAUUACCUAGUGUCAUCAGCAGUAGAUACACAACUGUGGACAUGAGCAGUGUUGCUUAGUAAGAAAACCACUGAAAUGCAGUGCAGGGGACCUGCCUUUUGUUCAUGACUCCCAGCUAGCAUCGUGGGGGAUCGACAGAAAGAAAUUCAGUUUCUCAUCUGACAAAGGACAUUUUCCUUUGUUGAAUCUAGGGCUGAAGAGUGAUACUCCUAUUUACUGCUUUAUAAAAUUUGCCAUGGUUAGCUUAUUCAGUGCCAUUUGUCCAUGACUUAAAAAUUACUCUGAGUGAUUGUAUUUAUUUUCUCCAAACCUUUGGAGUCACAAAGCCUUCUCAGUUUUUCUGACAGCUAUUUAAAUCCUGCUUUUUCAGUUUCUGGUGUAGACUUCCAAAGUAAGAGAAAUGCUGGCAUGCUAGGUUAAAUAGUCAUUUGAUGCUCAAUAACUUUGCACUUGCAAGUUCUCCAAGAACAACCAAUAGCAAUCCUCAAAACUCCAACAUGAGUUUUCCUUGGUCCGUUUACGAUUAAUCACAUUGGUCUUCUUCUCUGGGUCUGAUACUUAUAGCACAGCCUACCUAUAGUCUUUAUGAGAAGCACUCUCAGAGCAGCAAGGAAUCUAAUGUAUAUUAGUGCUCCAAAAUAUUUAGCCCCGUGCUUUACCUUUGCUGAAAGAAAUGCAACUGCUGCUGCACUUGGCAUGGAAUGUGAGGCUUAUAGAAGUGGAACAACCAGGAAACCAUAGUUAAACUUUCAGCAAAAUGAAUUACAGCUUUUGAUAAACAUUUCUGAGUUCACCCGGUGCCUCGGUGCAGCUGUCUGCAUUGCAAUCAGCGCACACAGGUCCACAGGACUGGCUCAAGGCUCCUCUGCAGACAUAAUCAGGAGAAGGACUCUCUGGUUCCUGUCUUAAAAAUGACAUUUCACAGGCAUGUUUAUCGGGUACUGAUCCUGCCAGUUGGGAAGAGCCAGCCAGGGCAUUUCUCUCCUGAACACCCAGAUCAUUUAUCUACCCACACGUGAGCGCUGCCUUCACAGCCCACAAGCCUCUGCAUCUUCGCUAUGAGCAGGUGUUAAUGCUUUGCUGGGUCAGAGCUAAUGUAAACCUGUAAGCGCUUUCAAUCAAAAAGGGAAUAUAAUCAUUUAGUCCAGACGCUCAUUAGCACUGCCACCAUUUGUCAGGAACAUCUUGCAGUUCUUUCUGUUUCUCGAUGCGCUCUGUGCAUAUUUGAUGUUCAUGUUUCCAUGUAUCUGUCAUUUGUUCUGUGGACAAACCUCUCCCAGGGUUCAGGGCCUUGGCUGGGGGCAACCAGUUCUUUGCAUUGUCUUCUCCUAAUGGGAUAUGAAGAUAUAUGCUUGAUCCAUUCAAGUACUAAUCAAGGCUUGAAUGACUCCCAGUAUCACUCCUGUUCAUUUUGAAUUGGAAAUAUAUCAACAGCAGAGCAAAACGGUGUUUCUCAGCAAUGUGUCAUAAUGAUUGGUUAUACCGGUGUCACAAUUCUGCAAGAAAUACAGUAAGUACUGAACAGUAAGUUCAGUUCUAUUGUCAGGAGUGCUGCCUCACGAGGAGGCAUUUGUAACUAAAACUGUUGUUCAUUUGCAGAAUCUGUAAGAAGAAUGAAGCCCUGACUGGAAAUAUGCUGAAAAGCUACCAUCAUAAAUUUGACAUAAUAUGCAUGACAUGGAUGGAUAGAUCAUUGUUCGCAAGGCCUGGCAAAUGAAACUGGGGUUUAUAGGGAGACAGAAACAUUGUUCUACAAGGCAUGCUUCAGAGCACUAGAGCAUGAGCACUGGCCUGGCAAGCUGCUGCUACCAGCUGCCUCUGACAGCAAAGUACCUUGUAAGGAGGCUCCAUAGGUGACGGAAACUGCUGAACUGAGCUGACUCCUUGAGUGUUACCUGAGCGGGUGAGAUACUACAACAAAGUCACACUGAGAGAUAGUCCAAAGAACCAGAUGUAUGCUUGUUUUAACCCUCUGCAGAGGCUGAUCUUCCAUUGCGGUGUUGGCAUGCAAAAAGUCUUCUUCCCUUCAAUUUACUGCCUAAAAGGCCUAAUAAACAGGACAGGAUGGAUAUAAAGGGGCAGUGAGCCUUAAUCAAAUGCAAACAACAAGACAGUAGCAGAGCUGUAAGAACAUCCCUUUCUUCUAGUCUGUUUAUUACCUGUUGGAUCACACGUCAACUCAUGUCCGUACUGCCAAACCCAGCCAUAAUUUCUCUGUUAUUUCACCCAAACAGAGAAGUAGAAAGCUCUCUGGAUAUGACAGCUACAAGAAAACUUCCUCAUACUCACCUCACUUUUCUGUUUACUGCUAAGAGAAAAAUCCCACCUAACUGGUUUUCUUUUUGUUCCCAUCUGCUUUUCUUUUUUGGAAGAGUUAGUGUUCCUACAGAAAGUCUGCAACUUUUACAGCAGUUCUGAUACCAGGUCCUUGGGAUAUAGGUCUUGAUUCUUCACAUUCAUUUCUCCUAAAGAUUACAGACAGCUCUGGGUAUUGAAACUCGAGGUGUGGAAGUUCUAGGGCAAAGGCUGUGAAGAGAAACGGAAGUUUGUAAUGAAAUAAGGGAACGGGCGAAAUAAGGGAACUGUGAUACUGUGGGACUGUGAACAAUGCAGCAUGCUUCCUUCAUUGUACAGGAUGCUAGAAAUGAAAAGACUGAAAAUGUUUACUUUUUGUUUUUCUGCUUGUUUGUUUGCUGGAGGGAACUUAGUUAAGCCGAUGGGAAUUGUUCUGUGUAACAACCAGCAGCCCUAGUCUUGCUGCUGUCUCCUUCUCCAAGAAAAGAAGAGUCAUUACUUUUGUGAUCUUCACCAAGAAUAUACUCUGCUCCACCUGCUAGUUCUGCAGCUGUGGUUAACUAACAAACAGUAUUCCCAGUCCUGUGCUAAGUGUAUUUGUUGUGGCUAGUACGCAAACAAAGAUGUCUUGACAGAAUACGGUGUUAUAUGAGCUGUUAAAGAACAGCCCUGUCAAGUUUAGAUCCAACAGAACCAAAGGGGAAAGCUUUGCCUUUGCCAUAUGGAAAACAAACAAGCCAAAAACACUUCACUCACAGUUUUAUGAAACUGAAAAACAGAUAGUGUGCAGUAAUGAUAAGAAUGUGCUGGAGGCCAUGAAGGUCUACCAUCUGCUUUAGAAAUACUCAGAAGCAAUGGUUUUCUUUCCCCUCCCUGUGUCCAAUGGCUCAAUCAGGUGCAACAAGUGAAAACUCCCUCUUGAAACACUUUCUCUGAGCAAAUUUCUCAGCCUCCUCCAGAACCUUAAUCUUGGAUCUCUCGCUGUUCAAAAUAGAAAGAGGCUUGCACAGGGGCUGUCUGUGAUCCAAACAGAACAGGGCUGCCUCUGCCCUGCAGCCCUAUGCUCACAGCCUCAGCGGAGCUCCCAGCAAGCUGAAACUGCUGUCCAAGAGCCUUGCUGAGAGGACACACUGAAAACAAGAUUUCAAAGGACCAGCUACUUGCAGAAGGCCCCCACAGACGUCCCUGAUCUGAAUGUGAAGAAGCUGUACUGGACAUGCUGGACAUAGAGUGCAGCAGGGAAGUGGGCAUGCUGAUGUGGUCUUCCUGGGGCAAAGCUCCACAUUUACUGCUGCCAUCAUUCUGCACGACGGAGACCUGUCAGUCUGGUGCAGCUCUGAGUUCAUGCCCUUGGGCCAUCCAGUAAGUGGAAAACAAAGAUGUACCAGCUACAAAUAGCAAUUGGAACAGAAGAAGAAGAGUAAAGUGCAUUCCAUUGCUAAGGAGAAAAAUGUUUGAGCAAAAUAUUUCAAAUUUUUCAGAAACAUCUGUUUUGCUACAGAGAAUUCAAAUUAAAACUUCUUUUGGAGCUCAGGGCUACGCUCUGUCAAACAUAUAUUGCUCUUCAGGAGAUGGAAAGUAAAGAAAGCAGCAAAGCUCUGAAGUACGUUCCUGGCUUUGGACCACAUCUUCGCUUAUAAUUUAUGAACACGGGGACUUGAGACUGGCACAAAAUUAUCUAGAGGAUGUCUACAGUACUCUCUGGGGGUGAGUGGGACUGCAAAUAUGUUACAAGCACAUUAAAAAGUAAUGUCUUCAAGUUCUGUCACUUUACACGAAGGAGAACUCCAACACAUUUGUUGAGGAAAUAUUACCUCUGAAAUUGGACGUAAGAUGCACCUGCAACCCCACACGCAUUCCUUGCUCUGCUGUAAUCCCACUAAAUUCUGUGGGACUGUUGGAGGAUGACAGUUCUGGUUCCUUGGAUUCAAGCAGCCCCUGCCAUUACCCUGGAAGCAUCUGUGUCAGUUCCCCUCUCCACCUACAUCUGGUGAGAGUGAUGAGGAUCAUGCAUAAUGCAAACACUGGAGCAGCUCUCGGGACGUGGCUUUCAAGGCAGCGUUUGUGCAGAGAUCUCACAGGUGCACACACUGGCCUGGAGAGAGCAGCCCUGGGAAUGCAUUAGACAGCUGUUUGGGUUAUCACUUUAGAAACAUUUUAGAAAGUUUUAAUAUCCUGAAAUUAAGCCUGUGCUGCUGGUUGCUGCAUUCUGGUUUCCCAAGAAAGUCCACCACAGUGGAAAAUCCAAGUAAACCCAAAGUGCAGGGAGCUCCUUCCCUUGGAGCAGGACUGUGUACCCCUGGAGAGCAAUGUGGGCUCAGUUUUACUGGUGCUACCUCAGCAGUCCACCUGCUCUGAGCUUCAACCAUUCCAGGGUGGUAUUCAAAUAGCAUUCAAGCACUUCCUCCAGCAGAUAAAUUACGCAGGAAAUGUCAGGCAGAUUUCUCUGCAUCCAAAGGAUAUUCUUUACGCUAAAGUGAAUAUAUGAUAUCCUUGCUGUGUUGCUUUGUGUACACAAUUCCUGCUUCCUACUCAGGAAGAUGUUAAUGGAUACGCUUGGUAUUAGACCAGUCAGUGCAGAGUUUGGAUUGCAAAAUACAUUUGGACCUCUGAGUCUAAGUUUAUCAUUUGGAUAAGCAAGGGAUGCAUUAACAUCAAAGCAGCUUACACUAGAGAAGGUAUGUAUCGGAUUUGUUGCUGGAGGAUGACACAUGUUGGAAAGAGAAUUGAGUUGCAAACAAAAAUAUCUGCUAGAACUGAGGAACUGUUCCCCCAGUUUGCCACCACUGUGUCUAAAAAAUCUUAUCCCACUGUUCUCUCCUUUCUCUCUAUGCAGCCAUGCAUAUACGACCCACUUCCCAAGAGUCCAUCCAAAAAGAUGUCUGUUUGAAUGCUGGCACAUUUUGUCUAAAACCAUGGGACUGAGCUCACUGAGCCUCCCUGCUUCUCUCUCUGCCAUGCUCCUGCAAACUCCAGCCCCCGUGCAAAGCACUAUUGAUUUUGGUUUGAUUAGAUACAGACUUAAGAGGGAGCCAGAACAGAUCAGACAAUGCCAUUGGGAGUGUAAUAGCUUCAUAAUUAAGUAAAUCCCAGCUGUGUGCCAGUUUUGGCCAAAUCUACUUAUCUCUUAUUGAGUUGCUAUUAUCAGCUGGAGUGUGUCUGGGGCUCACCAGAGCACAGUCCUCAUGCCAAAUGCUUUCUGGCUCACACAGCAUCUUCUGUAAUACUUUUUCUCUUGCUGUACAUGAAUGCAUCUUCUCCUUUAAACAACUGUCUCGGUGGUGAAGGGAGUUAUUUCUCCUUCACUGGAAUUAUCUCCACACUGCUGAAAUUCCAGUGAUUGAGAGGUCUUCCUGAUUUACUGUGCGUGUGAACAAAACUUGGACAACUAGGGUUGUGUUUCUGGCAUGCACAAGCCACAUUCUUACAAUAAUAAAAUUGAUUCUUGCCAAACAACCUCUAGAUGGCUCUUGAAGCUUGCUUUGUCAAUUAGCAGCUCCUGAAAUAAGUCUGCAUCAUGCUUUAUCAAGAAGCCUUUCCUUUGACUCUGUUACUUCUUCAUGUGGGAAAUGAAACAUACUGGAAUGUUUUGCAUGCAUUGGGAAGACAUCCUUUGGUUUUGUACAAAGCCCUUCCCUUUUGUGGAAAGCAGGAAAAAUGUUUGUCUUGUUUCUCCCCAGAAAGUCCUGAUUACAGAUUCCACCUGUGCACAUUGUGCUGUAGUUACUGCAUAUUUAUUCACUCAGGUGUGGAAA